UGUACGCCUUUCUUCUAGAUCACAAGGAGAUUAUAUAGAUGAACACAAAAUCGAUAAAAAAAAUUUCGCUACCAAUUUACCUAGGUUGCAAAGCAUUCUUCAUCGCCAUUCAGAUGGGAUACAAGGAGUUGCUAUGGAUGAUCAAGGCUCACUAGUAACUAAAGGACCAAGUUUAGCUCCUCUGCUUGGUAUAGAUGUUUGGGAGGAUGCAUACUACUUGCAGUACAAAAAUGUUAGUCUGGACUACCUGAAGAAUAUUUGGAAAGUUCUGAACUGGAAAUAUGCCAGUGAAUUGUAUGAAAAAGAGUGCCCUUGAACGAACUCUCCAUCAGAAUUGGUUUUGCAGAGACGGUGUUUAUGCUUCUGUUGGUUUUUGAGAGCAAAUAAAAUGGUGUUACAUAGCUGAGGGGGCUCAUGUUUCAAAUGCGGGCCUUAUCAAAAAAUAAAAAAAGAAGAAAGAAAUAAAAAUAUUUUUACGACAUUUUUUUCUUCUUUCUUAUGUUUUCCAUGUGUAAAAAUCAAUAAACAUGUUUUAUGACCUCUGCUGUUCUAUAGUUCUCCAAUUAGCGUCUGGCAAACUAUCCCUUUUCAACCCUUGUGUACCCAAACCUCCUGGAGAUUGCACAUGUCAUGAUUUAAUUGCAAUGGUUGAUGUUUGUUCUGCAUUACAUAGAGAAUUAGAAUGAGAUAUCGAAUUGUGAUGGCAAAUGUGUCCAUAAAGGUAUUGCCGUGCUUAUCAGAUGCUUUGAGAUAUGAAAUCACUGGUGAAGCAAGGAAUCACUGGCGUGUGCACAUGACUCAAAACUGAAGACAACCGCUUAUUGAAGUAAUUUUAUCUUACACGAAAUCGUAUUUCAAAUGAAUCAAAUUUUGUGAGUGUAAAUAGUUUUUUGAGCUCAGUUAGUUGCAGUUCUUUUUUAUCAAAUGGACUAUUGUAUGGAAGAAAUGACUAGGUGUUUUAGCUCGGUUAAUUGGGAAGGAUGAGGAUGGUUUUGUCAGUUGUUGAAGCAUUUUUGGCAUUUAUGAUGACUUUUCAGAUU